UACAGAGGUCUCAAGCGUUGUUCGGAUUCAUUGGGCGUAAAGGGCGCGUAGGCGGACAUUUAAGUCGGGGGUGAAAGCCCAGGGCUCAACCCUGGAAUAGCCUUCGAUACUGGAUGUCUUGAGUUCGGGAGAGGUGAGUGGAAUGCCGAGUGUAGAGGUGAAAUUCGUAGAUAUUCGGCGGAACACCAGUGGCGAAGGCGACUCACUGGCCCGAUACUGACGCUGAGGCGCGAAAGCGUGGGGAGCAAACAGG
rnacentral:rRNA from 1 species